AGUGAACGCUGGCGGUAGGCCUAACACAUGCAAGUCGAACGGCAGCACAGUAAGAGCUUGCUCUUACGGGUGGCGAGUGGCGGACGGGUGAGGAAUACAUCGGAAUCUACUUUUUCGUGGGGGAUAACGUAGGGAAACUUACGCUAAUACCGCAUACGACCUACGGGUGAAAGCAGGGGAUCUUCGGACCUUGCGCGAUUGAAUGAGCCGAUGUCGGAUUAGCUAGUUGGCGGGGUAAAGGCCCACCAAGGCGACGAUCCGUAGCUGGUCUGAGAGGAUGAUCAGCCACACUGGAACUGAGACACGGUCCAGACUCUUACGGGAGGCAGCAGUGGGGAAUAUUGGACAAUGGGCGCAAGCCUGAUCCAGCCAUACCGCGUGGGUGAAGAAGGCCUUCGGGUUGUAAAGCCCUUUUGUUGGGAAAGAAAAGCAGCAGGUUAAUACCCCGCUGUUCUGACGGUACCAAAAGAAUAAGCACCGGCUAGCUUCGU
rnacentral:rRNA from 1 species